CCGUCGAUAUUGUCUCCUCCAGCGUCAAGGAACCAGCCAAAAACGUCAUCGUCAAGCAAGCGACGCUGAGCAAAUGUCAGGUGCCAUCACGCACCAUGGUGUGGCGAUCAGAUUGGCAACGUGUUCAAUGCAGCGUACAAUGCCAAUGAUCAGUUCAUUUUUGUGGAUUGUUGUGGGGGAUUGAGGCUUUAAAGCACAUGAAUUGCAGCAGGAAUUGUUCAGGAUACUACUGUUGUUGCUACUUGGCGCGUUACCAUCACCGGGAGGAGCGACGGCCAUCCACAUCGCCAUUGCCAUCGUCCUUCAGGUACUAAUGUUGGUGUGAGCUCAAGGAAAAAGGCAAAACCCAUUUGUAGUUUCAGCUUUACGAGGCGUUGUCAGCAAUGAUUGAUGAGAUAAUUGGUUGAGCUACUUUUGGAAGGGGCGACGGAAAUCAUAAAAACUACGAUGGCUAUGG
rnacentral:rRNA from 1 species